GUUGUAAUUUGCAGAGGGCGCUUUGGCAUUGGCAGCGGUCCAAGUUCCUUGGAACAGGACGUCACAGAGGGUGAGAAUCCCGUACGUGGUCGCUAGCCUCUACCGUGUAAAGCCCCUUCGACGAGUCGAGUUGUUUGGGAAUGCAGCUCUAAAUGGGAGGUAAAUUUCUUCUAAAGCUAAAUACUGGCCAGAGACCGAUAGCGCACAAGUAGAGUGAUCGAAAGAUGAAAAGCACUUUGGAAAGAGAGUUAAAAAGCACGUGAAAUUGUUGAAAGGGAAGCGCUUGCAGCCAGACUUGCCUGUAGUUGCUCAUCCGGGUUUCUACCCGGUGCACUCUUCUAUAGGCAGGCCAGCAUCAGUUUGGGCGGUUGGAUAAAGGUCUCUGUCAUGUACCUCCUUUCGGGGAGAACUUAUAGGGGAGACGACAUGCAACCAGCCUGGACUGAGGUCCGCGCAUCUGCUAGGAUGCUGGCGUAAUGGCUGUAAGCGGCCCGUCUUGAAACACGGACCAAGGAGUCUAACAUCUAUGCGAGUGUUUGGGUGUCAAGCCCGAGCGCGUAAUGAAAGUGAACGGAGGUGGGAACCUUUCGGGGUGCACCAUCGACCGAUCCUGAUGUCUUCGGAUGGAUUUGAGUAAGAGCAUAGCUGUUGGGACCCGAAAGA
rnacentral:rRNA from 1 species